CUAAAUAAUAUAAAAAUAUUCCAAUUAUAACAAAAACAGGAAUUAUAUAUAUAUCUAAUACAAUCCAACUAGUAUAAACAAUAUCUCUAAUUUUAAUGCUAAAUACUAGCUUAACUUGCAUUAAUACACAAAAAAACUUGCAUUAAAAGAAAACAACACAGAGAAUAAACACAAAUUUUUUAUUGCACUAUACUUACUGUGUACAUAUACAAUAACUAGAAAGCAUCCUCCAUUACUGAGGACAGUAUCUCGGAAGGGAGUUAAAGUUGCAGUCACACAUACUAUAAAUACAUAAGAAGCGUAAAAGUGUUAUCAGAGCGAAAUCCACUAGAUAUUUUACAGAGAGAAAUCCACACAAUAUAUAUACAUAUGUAACAGGAGGCCUUUUCAAAAGAGAGAUAAGAGAGGAGAAGAAAGAACACCUUUCAAAGGAAGAGAGGAGAGGAAGACUCAAAGUGAAUUUGUUUGAAAAUGAUUUUAAGACCUGUCUUCCUAAAUGAGGGGCUUGCUCCUUAUAUAGAUGAGAGGAGAAUCUUCCUUUUUAUCGGACGGCUGUCUUUAAUGCUGGUGGACGGUUCGUUCGCUUGUCGAUGGAGCUAG
rnacentral:lncRNA from 1 species